CAAACCCAGGUGGUGGUGGCGGCUGGUAGUUCCCCUGGAAUUGCUGCUUAGGAACGAAACCUUGAUUGUAGAGAACAAAAGGUUUGUUCUGACCUUGUUUUUGCUGUGGAAGAUACACCUGAUCCUGAGGAUUAGCAACGUUGGUGCUACGGUAGGAGAGGUUGAGGUUGUUGGUUUUUGAAGUUGUUAUACCCUUUGUAGCCACUCUGGUUGUUGUUGAUGUAGCUGACUUCUUCCAACUGGUUACCCUCCCCAUCUUGGACUUGAUACUGCUCGUCAUCAACAAGGAAGUGCACAUGCUUCUGCUGGCUAAGAAGAAUCCUGUCCAGCUUGUCAUUCAGGGCUUUGAUCUCCUUCCUGUGUUUGUCAUCAGAGUCAGCUGUUCCUCUGACGGUCCUAUCACAGUCCUCGUUGUAAUUGCCAUCUGAUUGAGCGAGGUUCUCAACCAAUUCCCAGCCUUCUUCAACAUCCUUGUUCUGGAAAUUCCCAUUGCUGGCAGUAUCCAGAAGCAUUCUGAUGCGCGGUAGGACUCCUCUGUAAAGAGUGCUGAGCAGAGAGGCUUUAGUAAAGCUAUGAUGAGGGCAUUGGUUGGUGUAACCCUUGAAACGCUCCCAUGCUUCACAGAAGCUUUCACCAGUCUUCUGUGAGAAACCAUAAAUCUCAUUUCUGAGUCUUGCAGUUCUGGCAUUGGAGAAGAACUUUGAUAGAAAAGCCUUCUUGUAAUCAUCCCACGUGGUGAUUGAGUCAUGGGACAGAUUCUUCUCCCAGAUGUGUGCUUUGUCGCCCAAGGAGAAUGGAAACAAACGGAGCUUGAAUCCGUCUUCACUGACACCAUUGAUCUUUGUCAGGUUGCAGAGCCUAUCGAAUUCAUCUAGGUGGUCGAGUGGAUCCUCCAUUGGCAGACCAUGGAAUUUGUUCCCUUGAAUCAUCGAGAUGAGACCGCUCUUAAUCUCGAAGUUGUUGUUCUGGAUAGCAGGAGGUGCAAUUCCUUUCCUCUGACGGUGAUCACGUGGUGCAUCUCCAGCACCAAUGUUGGCAGGGCCAUUUUGUUGAUUCUGUUCUUCAGCCAUUUCGAGUGGUUGCUGAGGUACAAGGUUGACUGUGUUUCUCCUUUCUCUGAGUUUGCGAGCUAUGCGGUCGAUGUUUUUGUUGAAAAGGAGGUUCUGAUUGCCUGUUGAUCGAGUUCGCAUACAGUAGAGGUGUACCUGGAUCAAGAAGACAACAAGAAAAACACACAGUUAGUAACCGAAAAGAAAAUUGAAAAAGAGCUUGAUCUAAGCAAGUCUGAAAUCUCAAAUGUAACAAACAAACACCCAAUUGGCAACGGCGCCAAAUUAAUA
rnacentral:sRNA from 1 species